GGCCCAUUCGACAAAAGAAAACGAAUAAUGCAUCUUCUAGAAGGCGACUUGUUGUUCGGGCUAGCUACAGGGACAGUGGAAGGCCAAGUGGUGCAAGCAUCUUCGUUGGAGGCUUUGUGUUGGGAGGAAUAAUAGUGGGGGCACUUGGUUGUGUGUAUGCACCUCAGAUUAGCAAAGCUUUGGCAGGUGCUGACAAAAAGGAUCUGAUGAGGAAGUUACCUAAAUUUAUAUAUGAUGAGGAAAAGGCUUUAGAGAAGACACGGAAGAUAUUAGCAGAGAAGAUAGCACAACUGAACUCAGCCAUCGACGAUGUUUCUGCCCAGCUCCGAGCUGACGAUGAUCCGAAUGGAGUAGCUGUAUCCGCUGAUGAAAUUGAAGCUGCAGUCUGAGAACAUCAACGACAUGAUGCUGGUUCACUGAUCCUGCCCUGUGCAAGUUUGUUGCCUAUAUCCUCUUUUCCCCCACAUCAGAAAUAAUACUUUUCCAUCUGUAGGAUUUGUUUAUUCUAUAUGUUCAUAACAUAUUACCUCUUCUAGUAAAGUUUCUGGCAAGGAGAAACAAAC
rnacentral:misc_RNA from 1 species